GGCCGCCGAGGCUGAGGCCUGAGCCGGGGAGGAGACGGGAAAACCAGACCCGGAACCCCACAGCCUCGGGCAUUUCUAAGGGAAAUCAGAAAAUUCCCAGUGAAAAGUGUUAUGUAAAAUAAGUAAAUCAAUAGGAAAAGACAAAUAAAUGUAUGGCCCUCUUGCAAAGCGUCUGGUGUGUCCGCUCAGGACUGCGGACCCCGAUCCAGGAAGAUUGUGCAUGGGUUCCCCGCUCUCCCCCUGCAAUUCAGGCCAGCUGAGUUACCUGCAUUUGGGAAGACUGGAGUCAGCACCCCUGAAGUGCAAGGAAAGACAGUCCCUGGGAAAAUAAUUCUCCAGAUCAUGAGGUCUCACAACCAUGUUUCCAUACUGUAACUUCAGAGAGAUGAACAAGACAAGUUUAUCAGCAGCUCAGACUUGCAGUCACUGCUCCCCAAUAGAGAGCACCUAAGAAAGCUCCCCCCUCCGCAAUGAAAACAGCUGCCUGAGAAGGGCAAGAAGCCCCACAUGAAUGCAUCCCUGCAGUAGGAAUGUGACAAGCCAGUUCACAGGCUGUGCUGCUGAUCUUCCUGGAGCUUUCCUUGGGUGAAGCAUUGGAGAGCAUGGGCUGUUCUGCCAUGCAGUUCUGUCUCUGAGACAAGCUGGCAAAGAGAGGCAUGCAUUUCUACUUAUAAGAUGCAUACUUUUGCCAGGUAUUAUCUUUACACCUUUUUUCUUUCCCUUUAUUUUAAUCCAGUCAGAAUUUCCAUAGACACCACUUACAUAAUUUCCCUGCUUAUCAGCUUGACAUCUUAAUUGCAGAAACUGCACCAACAGGGAAAAGCUGCUAGAUAGCAGACACCAAUGCCAAAUCAGGUGAAAACAAGUAAUCAUAUUACUGAGGAAGACUAAAGUGGUGAAAAUAUGCCCUUCUCGAAAUUCAAGUUUAAACGAGACAUAUUUCCAGACUGACUGAAGUGACUGAAUUCUCUUGCCAGAUAGACAGCUUUGAUCCAGUCUUCCAGUAAAAAAAAAAAACCAAAAAAACCAAAACUAAAAAACAGUGCAGGGUAGAAACAUUAAUGUCAUGAAGGCUGUAUGAUUCAGAAAGGUGUGUUAAAGCCUUACUUCAGGGCAGCUGCUUGGCCCUGGUUCUGCUGCAGUGUACUUUCCUGUGCACUCACACACAGUCUAACAGAAGCCUGGACGUCAAAGAAAUGGACCAAGAAUUUUCCAACAGAAGAGUGGGCUGUAAUCCUGUAAGGGACUACUGUGUUCAUCAGGAUGCUCCAGUCUGGUUUAGUGGGAAAUUAGAAUGGCAAUCAUUUUCCCAUUCAAAGUAGCAUAAUCCCAUUUUUAAUGUGCACUUUAAAUCUGCAAGGCUUAGAAUAGAUAUUGUCUCUGUUUUAUGGGAGCUGAUGCUGGCAUUAAUAUCUCUCAGUGCCCUAUGCCUUUCUCUAAAAGAAAAUUUCUGUGUAAAAGAUUCUUGUUUUAAUAAACAAUCAAAUGUUUGAUUUGU
rnacentral:lncRNA from 1 species